UACGAGGGGUCCUAGCGUUGUUCGGAAUCAUUGGGCGUAAAGCGCUCGUAGGUGGCCUAGCAAGUCAGGUGUGAAAGCCCCGGGCUUAACCCGGGAAGUGCACUUGAAACUGCAUGGCUUGAGUACGGUAGAGGUGAGUGGAAUACCUGGUGUAGUGGUGAAAUACGUAGAUAUCAGGUGGAACAUCGGUGGCGAAGGCGGCUCACUGGACCAGUACUGACACUGAGGAGCGAAAGCAUGGGGAUCAAACAGG
rnacentral:rRNA from 1 species